UACCACACGUAAUUUCUUUUAAUUAUUUAUGACAAGCGUUAAGUCACAUGUGAUCACAGGAUUUAAAUUGCAAAAAUAAACAAACAAAAACAACAAGCAAACAAACUUGUUUUGAUUUAAAUUAAUAAUAUUUAUAGUAACAAGAUAUACCAUAACAGCAAUAUUUAUCACUUACAUUAUAAAAUAUCUUUCAGGACCUGAUCUCAAAUGAGAUCAUGCACAAGACGCACCUCGCAAAGGCCAUGACAGUAUAGUUUUCAGACCUGAUCAGCUGGUGACUGCUCUAUGAAGUGCUGUUCAACCUCCCCUAAGGGGGAGAUUCGAGAGGGUCUCCUGAUUGCUGAACACUACGCCAUGGUUGUUGUCAUCUCCAAAAAGUUUGCCCUGCCCAUAUCAACAGUGGAAGAGAACAUGAGAUGGGCCUUGAGGUGGCUUCGUGUCAUGUACUGCGGGGAGAAUAUAUAAACUGUUUAGUGCUGAGCAAUAUGUUCCUUUGUUCAUAGGUGUAAAUAUGUGUAAAGGGCUAUUCCAGGAAAAGAUAGGAUGAAGGAUUCCUUAAUGUUGUCAUUUUAUAAAUCCGGUACCACCAACACAGUUAAAAACAAUUAUUAUUAAUUUUAUCCUCUGUAUCACCCCUCACUAACUGAAACUGUAUAUAAUCAUGGUUCAUACCCUUCCUCCCAUUUUUACCUGUGGUAGCCCAAAGAGGAGAAUGUUAUUUAUUUUAAUUUAUUAUGUUAAAUGUGCUCGCAUAUUGUGAUAAUGUAUCUUGGGUAGAUGUUUUCCUGGUUUUGUUAAAAAUGCACUGUAAAAAUGUUCACAUUAUUUGUUUUUUUUAAUAUAAACAUUGUUUUUUGCAAA